rnacentral:rRNA from 1 species
GACGAACGCUGGCGGCGUGCUUAACACAUGCAAGUCGAACGGUGAAGCGCCUUCCUUUUUGGUGGGUGUGGAGGAGUGGCGAACGGUUGAGUAACACGUGAGUAACCUGCCCCCUUCUUCUGGAUAACCGCAUGAAAGUGUGGCUAAUACGGGAUAUUCUGGGUCUGUCGCAUGAUGGUUCUGGGGAAGAUGUUGUUUCGGUGGGGGAUGGUCGCCCGGCGGAUCAGCUUGUUGGUGGGGUGAUGGGCUACCAAGGCGGUGAGGGGUAGCCGGGCUGAGAGGAUGGAGGGCCACAACGGGACUGCGGCACGGCGCGGAAUACUACGGGGGGCAGCAGUGGUGAAGAAUGUACAAUGAGCGCUGGCAUGAUGCAGCGGCGACGCGGGGGGGAGGGAGGCGUGCGUGUGGUGCGCAUCUUUCGCCAGCGAAGGAGGCCUGCAUCGUUGGUGGGUGGAUUGACGGUAGCUGGAGAAGAAGCCACGGCUAACUACGUG